UGGAUAACCUCGGGAAACUGAGGAUAAACCGCGAUAGGCCAUGAUUUCUGGAAUGGUUCAUGGCUAAAAUCUAUAUGGCCUCUGGAUUGGACUGCGGCCGAUCAGGCUGUUGGUGAGGUAAUGGCCCACCAAACCUAUAACCGGUACGGGCUCUGAGAGGAGGAGCCCGGAGAUGGGCACUGAGACAAGGGCCCAGGCCCUAUGGGGCGCAGCAGGCGCGAAAUCUCUGCAAUAGGCGAAAGCUUGACAGGGUUACUCUGAGUGAUUCCCGCUAAGGGGAUCUUUUGGCACCUCUAAAAAUGGUGCAGAAUAAGGGGUGGGCAAGUCUGGUGUCAGCCGCCGCGGUAAUACCAGCACCCCGAGUGGUCGGGACGAUUAUUGGGCCUAAAGCAUCCGUAGCCGGUACUGCAAGUCUUCCGUUAAAUCCACCUGCUCAACAGUUGGGCUGCGGGGGAUACUACAGCGCUAGGAGGCGGGAGAGGCAAGCGGUACUUAAUGGGUAGGGGUAAAAUCCACUGAGCCAUUGAAGACCACCAGUGGCGAAGGCGGCUUGCCAGAACGCGCUCGACGGUGAGGGAUGAAAGCUGGGGGAGCAAACCGGAUUAGAUACCCGGGUAGUCCCAGCUGUAAACGAUGCAGACUCGGUGAUGGGCUGGCCUUGUGCCAACCCAGUGCCGCAGGGAAGCCGUUAAG
rnacentral:rRNA from 1 species